AUGGUUCUAACUGAGAAGACCACAAACUGUGGAUUUGAUGUUAAGCUUCUUUUUCAGUCAAUUGGAAAUAGUGAGGCGAUUCUUGAACGAGGGAAUUACGUCAUGACUUUAGGAGAUGCUAGUUUGAAAGAUAUUGAUGAAGAUCUUCAUAGCAGGCAGCGUGCGGUGUAUGGUCGAGAGACCAUGUGUAGGCUCUUUGAUGCUAGAGUUCUUAUGCCGGGGAUGCAGGGUCUUGGUGCUGAGAUUACGAAGAAUCUCAUUCUUGUUGGUAUCAAGUCUGUUACCUUGCGUUACGUAUGA